AUUGAACGCUAGCGGGAUGCUUAACACAUGCAAGUCGAACGAGUGGCGGACGGGUGGGUAAUAGAGCGGAACGUGCCCAGUAGCGGGGGAUAACGACUCGAAAGAGUGGCUAAUACCGCAUACGAUUGGAUCGGCCGAUAUCGGAUUAGGUAGCUGGGGGGGUAAAGGCUCACCAAGGCAACGAGCCGUAGCUGGUUUGAGAGGACGACCAGCCACACUGGGACUGAGACACGGCCCAGACUCCUACGGGAGGAAGCAGUGGGGAAUUUUGGACAAUGGGGGAAAGCCUGACCGAGCCAUCCCGCGUGUAUGAGAAGGCCUUCGGGUUGUAAAGUUCUUUUGGCAGAGAAGCGGUAUCUGACGAAUAAGCACCGGCUAACUACGUGCCAGCAGCCGCGGUAAUAC
rnacentral:rRNA from 1 species